rnacentral:rRNA from 1 species
ACGGGUGAGUAACACGUAUGCAAUCCACCUGUAACAGGGGGAUAACCCGGAGAAAUCCGGACUAAUACCCCAUAAUAUGGGCGCUCCGCAUGGAGAGUUCAUUAAAGAGAGCAAUUUUGGUUACAGACGAGCAUGCGCUCCAUUAGCCAGUUGGCGGGUAACGGCCCACCAAGGCGACGAUGGAUAGGGGUUCUGAGAGGAAGGUCCCCCACAUUGGAACUGAGACACGGUCCAA